UACGGGGGGAGCAAGCGUUGUUCGGAUUUACUGGGCGUAAAGGGCGCGUAGGCGGUCAGCACAAGUCAGUUGUGAAAUCUCCGAGCUUAACUCGGAACUGCCUUCGAUACUGGCUAUCUUGAGUACGGGAGAGGUGUGUGGAACUCCGAGUGUAGAGGUGAAAUUCGUAGAUAUUCGGAAGAACACCAGUGGCGAAGGCGACACACUGGCCCGUUACUGACGCUGAGGCGCGAAAGCGUGGGGAGCAAACAGGG
rnacentral:rRNA from 1 species